rnacentral:rRNA from 1 species
AUGGCUGCUGAGCUUGGGCAUCUCGCCCGAGCAGCUGCAGCGAUACUUUGUCUGCUGACUUCCCACGUAGCAGGGUCCGACUCCCAUGCUCAAGCAAGGAUUUCAGGCGGGACUAGAACUUGCAUCAGCAGGGAGCGGGACGCGCUUCUGUCCUUCAAGGCAGACCUCGUCGACCCUGCUGGCCAUCUCUCAUCAUGGCAUGGCGAAGACUGUUGUCGGUGGGAGGGAGUCCGGUGCAGCAACAGAACUGGUCAUGUUGUAAAGCUCAACCUCUGCAACACCUACAUGCCUUACUUCUCUGCCCACAUCGACCACAGUCUGAGCUUGUCGAGAGAUGAGAUGAGCUCCUCUUUGGCUGCUUUGCAACAUCUGAGAUAUCUUGAUCUGAGCGGGAAUGAAUUCAACGGCACUAGCAUACAUGUGUUCGUGGGCUUUCUGGAGAACCUAAGCCGCAAGUAA